rnacentral:rRNA from 1 species
GGCUAACUAUCUGAUCGUCCUCCUGUUGAUCCUCCCACCCUUUGAGGACCUACCUCUGUCGUUUUGGCGGGCCGCGGACCACCGCGACCGCCCCCCUCACCGGAUGUUAACGAAGCGCCCGCCAGAGUUGCAUCAACCUACAAACAUAAUACGAUGUUCUCUGAAGAACAUUUAAUAAUCUAGAAUUUUCGACAACGGAUCUCUUGUGUCUGAAAUCGAGGAAAAAGGCAAAGAAAUGGAAUAAUCAAAGCGAAUUGCGCAACUUGGGGAAUCAUCGAAUCUUUGAACGCUCAUUGCGCCCUUUGCAAUUCCGAACGUCAUGCCUGUUCGAACGUCAUUACAACCCUCAAGCUCUGCUUGGUAUUGUGCACCGUCCUUUGCGGGCGCGCCUCUCUUCCUCUAUGAUGGCGUCUUGCCUCAAGCGUAGCGAACAUACAUCUCGCUUUCUAGCGCAGUUGACCAUCCCGCCGGACGAACCUUCUGAACUUUUCUCAAGGCUGAUCUCAACCGACUCAUGAAUAACCGUUGAACUUAGGGAUAUCACUAAGCGCAGGACCUCAAAUCAGGUAGGACUACCCGCUGAACUUAAGCAUAUCAAUAAGCGGAGGA